CAUUCCAUUAAUACUUCUGGCUCUUGGGAGUCUCUUUGUAGGAUACUUGGCCAAAGUGUGACCUGUUAGCCCAUAAGUAAGUACUGUGACGAAGCGGCUGUUGCUCACCCGACACGAUCGUACGAGGUCACAAUUCACCCAACACGAUCAUCCGGGGUGAACAAGAAUUGGGGAUCGGAUGCGGGCGAAAUUCCCGCCAAUGGCUGAGAUGUU
rnacentral:lncRNA from 1 species